GGCCUGGUGGUUCAGCUGGUAGAGCAUGCGCGUACAAAGCGUGGCGGCGUCCAUGCCUGGGUUCGAAUCCCACCGAGGCUA
rnacentral:tRNA from 1 species